rnacentral:lncRNA from 1 species
CAUUAAAUUUAAAAUAAAUUCAUAAUAUUUAACAAUGGUUAUAAAAUUUAAAAUAAAUCCAUAAUACUUAACAAUGUUCAUAAAAUUUAAAACUAAUCUAUGAAUUUGUUGAACCAUCUGAUAGAUGCUAUCUUCUUUCAUUUUGAUCCAUGUCUUCUUUCAUUUUGAUCCGGUUUUGCUCUAAUAUUUGUUCAACCUCCUCUAAAGAAAACAUAGUUUGAAAAGGUCAUCCAGAAUGAGCUCAUUCAUAGAGAGAUGCUGGUUAUGUCCUCU